AGAUUGCACCAUUGCACUCCAGCCUGAGCAACAAACACGAAACUCCAUCACAAAAUAAAAUAAAAUAAAAAUAAAAAGUCAAACACAUAGGCUAAAAAAUCCUGUCUUCUCCUUCUAACUAGAUAUCAACUAACAAACAAUACUAAUGAAUAUUUUCAUUCUUGUAUUUAGGGGCUUAGGUAAUAAUGCUAUGAAGUCUAGUCUAUAAGUCUCCCACCAUACCACUCCUGACAAAAAGAUGAGACUAAAUAACUGUGUCAGGCAUUGUGUUAACCUAGGAAAUACCACAGGAAUAUUUUGGUACUCUAUCUAACAGGUUCAUACUCUAAUGGAGGAGAUAAAGUUAAUAGACAAUGAUAAUUCAGUGUGAUGAUGGAUGCUACAAGGACAGGGUGCCUGAGAAAUAUACAGGGGGGAUUAAUAUGGUUUGGCUGUGUUCCUACCCAAACCUCAUCUUGAAUUGUAGUUCCCACAAUUCCCAUGUGUUAUGAGAGAGAGCCGGUGGGAGAUAAUUGAACCAUUGGGACAGUUUCCCCCAUACUGUUCUCAUGGUAGUAAGUCUCAGAAGACCUGAUGGUUUUUUAUACAGGGAAACCCCUUUUGUUUGGUUCUCUCAUUCUCUCUUGACACCGCCAUGUAAGAAGUGCCUUUCGCCUUCCACCAUGAUUGUGAGGCCUCCCCAGCCAUAUGGAACUGUGAGUCCAUCAAACCUCUUUUUCUUUAUAAAUUACCCAGUCUCAGGUAUGUCUUUAUCAACAGUGUGAAAAUGGACUAAUACAGGGACAUUUAACACAGCCUGAAGAGAAAGGAUUUCAGGGUGUUCAGAACAAUUCCCCAAAGGAAGUGAUGUCCAAGAGAGACUAGGAAAUAAGUAACCACUUUGCAUCCACUAGGAUGGCUAUAUUUUAAAAGACUGACAAUAAUCAGUAAUGGGAAGGAUAUAGAGGAAUUGGAAACCUCGUACAUUGCUGGUGAGAAGGUAAAAGGGCACAGCCACUUUGGAAGACAGUUUGGCAGUUCCUCAGAAUGUUAGGCAUAGAAUUACCCUAUGACCCAGAAAUGUCACUCCUAAAUAUAUAACCAAGAGGACCGAAAACAUACAUCCACACAAAAACUUGGACAUGAAUGUUCAUAGCAGCAUUAUUCUAAACAGUCAAAAAGUAGAAACAAUUCAAAUGUCUCUCAACUGAUGAAUCAAUGAACAAAAUAUGCUGCAUUCCAAAAUGGAGUAUUAUUCAGUCAUAAAAGAGAAUGAAAUGGCAAUUCAUGCUACCACAUGUAUGAACAUGGACAAACCUUGAAAAUUUAUACUAAGUGAAAAAAGUCAGAUACAAAAGGUUACAAAUUGUAUGAUUCCAUUUACAUAAAAUGCCCAAAACAGGCAAAUCCUUAGAUACAGAAAGUAGAUUAGUGGUUUCCAGGGACUAAGAAGAAGAGGAAAAUGGGGAGCACCUACUAAUGGGUAUGGGGUUUCUCACUGAGGUGAUGACAAAAUUCUGAAAUUAGAUCAUGGAAUUUUAGAUCAUGAAGAGUCAUGCAAUUUUGUGAAUAUACUAAAAACCACUGAAUUCUACAUGUGAAAAUGAUACAUUGUGUGGCAUAUGAAUAAUCUUAAUUAAAAAAGAGAAAAAAUAAUAGUGAAUAUGUGAAAAUAUUGAACAAAGGCAUCAAAAGGAAGAAAAAGAAGGGGGAAGUGACAAAAAUGAUAGCUGAUAAGGAGAAAGGAGAAACUGAGGUGGGCUCCAGCACAAGAAGGAAGACACAGGUUCCAGAGCAGGAAGAGGAGGUAGGUCUCAGAGCAGGAAGCGGGAGGAAGAUCCCAGAUCAGGAAGGAGGAGGCAGGUUCCAGUGCAGGAAGGAGGAGGCAGGUUCCAGAACAGAAAGGAGAAGGCAGAUCCCAGAGUAGCAAAGAGGAGGCAGGUUCCAGAGCAGGAAGGAGAAGGCAGAUCCCAGAGUAGGAAGGAGGCGGCAGGUCCCAAAGCAGAAAGGAGGAGGUGGGAUCCAGAGCAGGAAGGAGGAGGUAGGUUCCAGCACAGGAAGGAGGAGGCAGGUUCCAAAGCAGGAAGGAGGAGGCAGAUCCCAAAGUAGUAAAGAGGAGGUGGGUUCCAGAACAAGAAAGAGGAGGCAGGUUCCAGAGCAGGAAGGAGGAAGCAGUUUCCAAAGCAGGAAGGAGCAAGCAGAUCCCAGUGCAGGAAGGAGGAGGAGGUAGAUCCUAGAGCAGGAAGGAGAAGACAGGUUCCAGAGCAGAAAAGAGGAGGCAGGUUCCAGAGCAAGAAGAGGGAGUUGGUUCCAGAGCAGAAAUGUGAAGGUGGAUUUUGGCAGUUUCAGAGCAGGAGGAAGAAGGCAGUUCCCAGCUCAGGAAGGAGGAGGCAGGUUCCAGGGCAGGAAGAAGGAGGAGGCAGUUUUCAGAGCAGGAAGGAGGAGUCAGAUCCCAGUGCCAGAAGGAAGAGGCAGGUUCCAGCUCGGGAAGAAGUAGGUGGCUCUAGAACAGGAAUACAGAGGCGAGUUUCAGCAGUUUCAGAGCAGGAAGAAGGAGUAGCAGGUUCCAGAGCAGGAAGAAGGAGACAGAUUUCAGGGCAAGAUGAAGGAGAAGGCAGUUUCCAGAGCAGGAAGGAGGAGCCAGACCCCAGUGCAACAUGAAAGAGAAGGCAGGUUCCAGAACAAGAAAAGGGAGGUGGUUCCAGAGCAGGAACACGGAGGUAGGUUUUGGCAGUUUCAGAGCAGGAAGGAGGAGAAGGCAGGUUCCAGAGCAGGAAGAAGGAGGCAGGCUGCAGAACAGGAAGAAGGAGGUGGUUCCAAAGCCAGAUGAAGGAGGUGCGUUUCAGCAGUUUCAGAGCAGGAAGAAGGAGGUGGUUCAGGAGCAGGGAGGAGGAGGUGGUUCCAGAGCAGGAGAAUAAGGAACAAAGUGGGACUGGGAUGUGGUUUGCCCUUCACUAGUGACAAAGCACUGAAUGUGAGUACAGGUUAAUUGUGCAGGCCUGGAGGCAAAAUUUGAGGGAGUUGACAUCUAAAGCUUCUUUUCUGACUGGCAGUAACUGGCAACCUGGAGGGGUAGGAAAUUUGAGGUGAAUGGAGGACGUUAAGAACAACCUCUGAAGAAUAGGAGACACAGACCGAUGAGAAAAUAAGCCAGUUAUUGGAAGGUUCCCACCAUUUAAAAACAACAACAACGUCCAUGUUUAACACUACAAAAUAAUUUACUUAGCCAUCAAAUGAAUAGGAGCAUCUGAGAAGAGAUUUUCUCCACUGUCCAGUCUCCUGGCUCCAGGCAGCAGGCUUACUGCCUCCUGGUUUUUAUAGGAACAUUUGCAUCUUUUUUGGUACUCUCCUAUUCCGUUCCCCAACUGCUCCAGUCCUGCAGUAGACUGUUUCUUAGUUUAUUUGUUUUCCUUAGAUGUUAAGAUUAUUUCAACAACUGGGUACUGUAGAUAUAAAAAAUGGAUAUGAGGCCAGGUGCGGUGGUUCACACCUGUAAUCCCAGCAAUUUGGGAGGCUGAGGCAGGAGUUUGAGACCAGCCUAGGCAACAUGCUGAGAACCCUGUCUCUAUUUUAAAAAAUGAAAAAACUUAGCUCGAUGUGGUGGCAUGUUCCUGCCAUCCCAGCUCUUUGAGAGGCUGAGGUGAGAGGGUCACUUGAGCCUAGGAGUUUAAGGCCGUGGUGAGCUAGGAUCAUGCCACUUGCACUGCAGCCUGAGUAUCAGAGUGAGACCCUGUCUCCAAAAAUAAAAUAAAAUAAAAAUGGAUUUGAAGAUGCUUAUUAUAAAGCUUUCCAUAACCACAAGAGGAAACGAGCUUUUCUCCUUAUUCAUUGUAUCUUAUUUUUCUGGGUUUUUUUGUUGUUUUUUGUUUUUUGUUUUUUUUUUGAAAGAAGUCUCGCCCUUGUCACCCCAGGCUUGAGUGCAAUGGCUCGAUCUUGGCUCACU
rnacentral:lncRNA from 10 species